UACGUAGGGUGCAAGCGUUAAUCGGAAUUACUGGGCGUAAAGCGUGCGCAGGCGGCUUUGCAAGACAGAUGUGAAAUCCCCGGGCUCAACCUGGGAACUGCAUUUGUGACUGCAAGGCUAGAGUACGGUAGAGGGGGAUGGAAUUCCGCGUGUAGCAGUGAAAUGCGUAGAUAUCUGGAGGAAUACCGGUGGCGAAGGCGGCAUCCUGGACCAUUACUGACGCUGAGGCGCGAAAGCUAGGGGAGCAAACGGG
rnacentral:rRNA from 1 species